UACAGAGGUCCCGAGCGUUGUUCGGAUUCACUGGGCGUAAAGGGUGCGUAGGUGGCAUAGAAAGUUUGAUGUGAAAGCUCAGGGCUUAACCCUGAAAUGGCAUUGAAUACUGCUGUGCUGGAGGUUUGGAGGGGGGACUGGAAUUCUUGGUGUAGCAGUGAAAUGCGUAGAUAUCAAGUGGAACACCAGUGGCGAAGGCGAGUACCUGGAAAAUACCUGACACUGAGGCGCGAAAGCUAGGGGAGCAAACAGG
rnacentral:rRNA from 1 species